AUGGCCGAUGGCCACCGUGGGCAUGGCGACCAAGGCCGCCAGGACAACGACCGUGACAGAGACCGCGGGUCCGUUUGUGAUGAGAGAGAUCAAGACUCGCGCAAUCCGCGACGAGAAGACCGCGACAACCGUGCCCGCAAGAGCGCUGAUAACCUUUGCCCGCUUUGCAAGCAAGUCCAGGAAACUGCGGCGCAUCUUCUCUUCCAGUGUAGGUUCUCCCAGCGUGUUUGGGUUGAGGUUGCUACGUGGAUUGGCCUACAUUGUGAUGUGGUGAGGAGCUGGAGAUUUGAGGCUUCAGUUCGAGAUUGGUGGAUUAAAAAUGUGAGUGAGCGCGGAAACCAGAGAAAGGCUAUCGCCUGCUUAUUCAUGCUUAUGUCUGGGGAGAUUUGGAAAGAGCGCAACGCAAGGGUCUUUUGCAACACUGCCGCUACAACGAUGAUGGUCGUCGUGAAGAUCAAAGAGGAGGCCCGUCUUUGGGCUAUGGCAGGUGCCACCUACUUGAGUAUUGUAAUGCCGCGAGAGUAG
rnacentral:rRNA from 1 species